AGUGGUAAUUUAAUUUUUAAUGCAAAAGUGGCAACAUGCUGAUGAUACAGUUGUGGGCAACCAAGUUUACCUGAGUGUAGGGCUGGAUGAUUAAUCAAAUUUUGAUUUUGAUUACGAUUUUGGGUUCUCAUAAUCAUCAAGACAUUAUAAUCAAAGAAAAACGAUUAAUGUGCAGCACGGCACGGUGUGUAUGCAAGUUCCUGCGCUGCAGAAGCACCGUGAAUGCACCUGUUUGUCUUACAUGCAGAUGGGACGGUGGCAGAGAAAGAGUAGUGCUGUUUGAUCAACAAGAAAGAAACAUAAGGUGCAAAAACAUAUGGGCCUACAGGGUUUUCCUCAACAUCAUAUAACCUUGGUGCACCGCGUAAGUGUUUCUGCACACCGCUCAAGCCGAAUGAACUCCGCUCGUAUGCCUUGAGAGAGUACUUGAAAACUUUUUCGGGCUGCAGCAGCCAUCGCAUAUUUUGGAUUAAUACUUUAACUUGCAAAAUCGUAUGGGAAGGACAUCUGCUUAUGAAACGGAUUUAACAGGACGAGGUACACUUGCACUUCUGGGCACUCCCCCUGCUCCCAAUCCAUCCUCAUCCCAACUCAUCACAUAUCACAGCAAAAGCCAACCCAGUGCCAUUCUAAAGUCGUCGAACACCGGUGCUUGGGCAGGGACUUCAGCAUCAGACACAGACAAAAAAGUCAUCCUUUCACAUCGGCAUGACACACAGCUGGGCACCAUCAGUGUGUAACAGCACCUGACAGCAUCAGGGGAAAACAGGGCUGGACAACAAUGCAGAAGCUGACACAGCGCCCCAAAAACGUCAACAACAGACUCACCAUGGCUACCCUGCACAUCAUAUGUGGACGUGGAUAGUCCACAACCAAGUGGCGAUUUUUGACAAGGUGGGAGUGAGAAUGUGUUGUAAAAGCAUGUGGUGAUAUCUAAAAAAAAAAAUAAAUAAAUAAAUAAACAUCAUGGUUUGGCUUAAAAUUCCUACAGGAAAUGGGCAUCUGGCUCUCAUCUCAAAAUGUGGAGGUUGUUUGAAAUCUUAUAAUCUUUGAGAUGAUAUCCUCACUUUCUAGGCCCUCCCCCAGUCCCAUUAGUUUUAGGUUAUUAACAUUAACAUUAACUAAGAUUCUCAAGAAUAUCAAGCCUUCCCAGUACUUUUCUAUUAUCUUAGGAGGACUUCUUAGUUUUCUCGUAAAGCUUUUAGACAGUGUUAUUUUUGUCCUCAACUGUUUAAGGUAUUGUUCAGCAAAGUAAAUGCAAAUGAAACAGAGCAGCUCCAUGGGGACAGUCGCUGUGAGCAAAGAAUGACAGUGAUUAGGGUCUAAUUCAGGUUUAUGUGUUCCCAAUCUUUGAUAACCUCUCAUUGUGACCCAUUGAAUGUGAUUACAGAUAUGUGAAUUUCUGUCAAAACUAAACCAACAUGAUUUUGGACUCUUGCAGCCAAGAGAGCUAUUUGCCUUUCCUCAAGACAAAGGGAAGUUUGUGUAAUGGAGGAUGUCUGGACAUGAUGAUGUGCUGUAUCCUUGGCUAUACAGGGUUCAACGCUAAGGUUUUUUUUUCACUUGCCCAGUUGGGCAAGUUGGUCAGAUAUCUACUUGCCCGAAGUCAGUUUUUACUUGCCCUAUGAAAACUGUUUCAUUUAAGCGGCUAUCAAAUAACAAAGACUGCAGUUAUUUUUAUGUUAUGUAAUCCUUAUUCACACUGUAUUUAUUAAUUAAAACAACAUACGUCAUGUAUUGUAGCUUAAUUUCUACACAAAAAUGACAGUGUCAGGGCUUAAAGUGAAAAAUUUGUCAAUCGUUCUCCGUCUAUAAUUUUGCGCCCUACUUGAGCCAUGCCCACCUCUAUUUAUUUUUCA